rnacentral:rRNA from 1 species
CCUACGGGAGGCAGCAGUGAGGAAUAUUGGUCAAUGGGCGCGCGCCUGAACCAGCCAAGUCGCGUGAGGGAGGACGGCCCUACGGGUUGUAAACCUCUUUUGCCGGGGAGCAACGGGCGUCACGUGUGGCGCCACUGAGAGUACCCGGAGAAAAAGCAUCGGCUAACUCCGUGCCAGCAGCCGCGGUAAUACGGAGGAUGCGAGCGUUAUCCGGAUUCAUUGGGUUUAAAGGGUGCGCGGGCGGGCCUUUAAGCCGGCGGUGAAAUCGCGGGGCUCAACCCCGCCGAGCCGUCGGAACUGGGUGCCUUGAGUGCGGCGGAGGCAUGCGGAAUGCGCGGUGUAGCGGUGAAAUGCAUAGAUAUCGCGCAGAACCCCGAUUGCGAAGGCAGCGUGCCGUGCCGCCACUGACGCUGAGGCACGAAAGCGCGGGGAUCGAACAGGAUUAGAUACCCGGGUAGUC